rnacentral:tRNA from 1 species
UGGAUGGGUGGCCGAGCGGUUUAAGGCACCGGUCUUGAAAACCGGCGUGCAGGAGACUGUACCGUGGGUUCGAAUCCCACCCCCUCCGCCAU